GGAGGAGAAGGCCGGGCCAAGAGACCAGCCUCCCCAUCGAACAGACCACACAGAAGAGAAGUAAAAUGAGGAAGAUGAGAGAAAAGAAGCACCUAUGCAGGUUGAUGACAAAGUUACCACAGACAAAGUAGCAAGUGUAAAUAAGCAUGUGAAUAGACUGCCCAGCAACGAUCUGCCCGACAUCACCAGCCCACAGCCCAUGUCUCAAGGUGUACCGUUCCAGCUCA